UAUGAUAAUUCUAUUUUUAGUUUUUAAAAGAAUCUUCAUUAUGUUUUCCAUAGUGGCUCACCAAUUUACAUUCCAACCAAUGGUGUAAGAGGGUUCCCUUUUCUGUAUAUUCUCUCCAUCAGUUAUUAUUUGUAGACCAUUUUAAUGAUGGCCAUUCUGACCAGUGUGAGGUGAUACAUCAUUGUUGUUUUGAUUUGCAUUUCUUUAAUAAUUAGUGAUGUUGAACUUCUCUUCAUGCAACUGUUGGCCGUCUGUAUGUACAUGUUUUGUUUGUUCCUGGUUUAUUCUUUCACCAUUAAGCAUAAUGUUAGGUGUAGAUUUUUUUUUUUGUAGAUGUUCUUUAUUAAAUGGAAGAAAUUUCACUCUCUCCCUAUUUUCCCAAGUAUUUUUGUAUUUUUAUGAGUGUGGCAGGUUACUUAUGUUUCUUGACCUUGAAGAAGACACUUUCUGUAGGAGAGAUCCUGUGCAUCCCAGCAGAUCACUCCGCUCUGCAUCCAAGCUCUAUGCUCUGAGGGUUUUCCCCCUAAGAGGGCUGUAUGGGUCUCUCUGUUGUGGGUGGACAACAUGGACAGUCUUAUAGGCCUGGUUGGCUCCUUAGCCCAGUUGGUUGCCAAGCCCUGUCCUGUGCCACAUGCUGCCAGCCUCUAGUUAGUAGGGCCUGGUCUGCUAACUGCAGAGCCCCAGGGGCCCCUGGAGCUAGUGCUGGCUCAUUGGUAGACAGAGUCAGGGUCCAGAACACUCUAAGGCUGUUGCCCCCACAUUGGUGGGUGAAGCCAGGUGCUGGGAUUUGUGCCAGACCACCGGCAGGCCAAGUCGGGUUCUGGACUCUGGCCACAAGGUCUAGGGAUCUCAGAGAUGCUGUCAGAUUGAUAGUGGUCAUGGUGGGGAGUGGUUCCUGAACACAGUUGGGGAUUGGGGUCUGGGGUAUCCUGAAGCUUGUGUUGGCCUGCAAGACCAGAGCUCAGCUGGUCCCAGGAUAGGGUGUGGCCUGCUGCGUGGGUAGGCUGGGUGAUUGUGGUUUCCUUGCAUCUGGUGUCUGCACCUUGGUAGGUGAGUCUGGCUAGAGGCUUGUGCAAGCUUCCUGGAAGGCAGGGCUGGUGCCUUCCCACUGGCGCGUGGAGCUGGUUCUUGGCCCCUCUGGUGGGCGGGGCUGUGUGUAGGGAGUUGUCUAGAGGUGGCUGUGGGCUAGGGAAGCCUUUAGGCAGCUGCUUGCUGUUGGCUGGGUCUGUGUCCCGCCCAAUUAGUUGUUUGGCCUGAGGAGAACUAGAGCCAGGGGGUCUACAAGCUUUUGGGUGUGGCUAGCGCUAAAGAGCUAGAGGGAGGAGCCCAGGAUAGAGCUGCAGCUGCCAGCACUAAGCUGGGAAUGUUCCCAAACAUGGCUGCUGCCAGCGUCAACACACCCUCCCCAUCCCAUCUGCCCUCACCUCUGGAGGAGAUACUCCUAGAUCAGCAGAUCUCCCAAUAUAUGUAAGAGAGAAAGAAGACAUUAUCAGUUACAAGAAAAAAGGAAAAAAAAAAGGGAAGGAAAUGGAAAGGAGCCAACAGAGGAAGCAACCACUGAUGUGGGACGCCCAGCACUCAGUGCCUCCAGCUGCCCUCUCCAUCCCGGUAGGUCACAUGAUGUGCAGAAGGUGGACUGGGUCCAAAGACCCACCCAUGAUUGCUUUUUUGGUCCAUUUUGAUUAUCUGGCAAUUUAAUUGCAGUUAAGUUGAACUGAAAUUGUCUUGUGACUUAGUUGUGGGUUCUUCUCCACCCCAGAGGUUGUGUUUGGUUGUUGUUGAAAGUCACAUGUCUUGGGACACAUUUCCUUGUGGAAGAUGUGAGAAUAGCAUGCACUGUAUGGGAGACGGAAUCCUGUAUCACCUCGUAGCAUCCUAUAUUAUCAUGGCAUUGCCAUUUUGGAACAGAGCCUUGUCUGUUUCUGGUACAAGGCAGGGCAUAGUGCUGAGGAGCCAGACAGCCCAUGGUCUGCAAGGAGGAAGGACACAUGUGGGAGAGGUUGUGGGCAGUGAUACUGACCAUCAACUUAGAAGUGAGUGAGGGAGAAGCGUGGGGAUAGGAAUGAGCCCCAAGCCGGCAGGAUAGACUCCAAGUAGUGGAAGGAAGAUCCUGAAGCACAAAUGUGGUAAGUCUUCAGUUUGAUUUGCGUCUGGCCUCAGAUGGAGCCCAUCUCCAAGACUAAGCAUUAACCUUACUCACAACUGGACUUGUCCCCAGGCUCACUAAGCUCUAACCAAGCCUCCAUGUUAAUUCUGACUCAGCACAGCUGAGCCUUAGCCCCAAUCAUGAACAAUCCUGUUUAUUCAUUCAAAUAAUAUUUAUUUAGUGCUUACAGAUUUCUGACCUUGAGUCCUCCUUAACUUUUCUCAGUAUUGGAAUUAAAUUUAAUGAGAUGAUAUGUGUGCCAGGUUAGUGCAGCUCCUGUGCACAGCAAUUACCAUUUCAGACUUUCACCAUAAUGAGCCCUAAUGAUCCCCAUCACUGUUGAGAGAACAGUAGUCUUCUCAGGGUGCAAAGAGGG